rnacentral:rRNA from 1 species
AAGGCGUUCCCUUCAGGGACGCAAUGACAGGUGGUGCAUGGUCGUCGUCAGCUCGUGUCGUGAGAUGUUGGGUUAAGUCCCGCAACGAGCGCAACCCUUGUUACUAGUUGCCAGCAUUAAGUUGGGCACUCUAGUGAGACUGCCGGUGACAAACCGGAGGAAGGUGGGGACGACGUCAGAUCAUCAUGCCCCUUAUGACCUGGGCUACACACGUGCUACAAUGGACGGUACAACGAGUCGCAAACUCGCGAGAGUAAGCUAAUCUCUUAAAGCCGUUCUCAGUUCGGACUGUAGGCUGCAACUCGCCUACACAAAGUCGGAAUCGCUAGUAAUCGCGGAUCAGCAUGCCGCGGUGAAUACGUUCCCGGGCCUUGUACACACCGCCCGUCACACCAUGGGAGUUUGUAACGCCCAAAGUCGGUGGCCUAACCUUUAUGGAGGGAGCCGCCUAAGGCGGGACAGAUGACUGGGGUGAAGUCGUAACAAGGUAGCCGUAGGAGAACCUGCGGCUGGAUCACCUCCUUUCUAAGGAA